AUUCCAGCUCCAAUAGCGUAUACUAAAGUUGUUGCGGUUAAAAAGCUCGUAGUUGGAUCUUGGAAUGUGUUCAAGCGGGUCAGCUUCUGGCUGUUCGCUGCUUGACGUGUUCUUCUAUUUGGUUUUGGUGCGGUGCGCUUAACUGCGUGUCGCUCCCGGCCGAAACGUUCACCUUGAAAAAAUUAGAGUGUUCAAAGCAGACCUGUUUGAGUCUGAAUAUUCGUGCAUGGAAUAAUGAAAUAUGAAUUCGGUUCUAUUUUGUUGGUUUUCGGAACUCGAGUUAAUGAUCAAGAGGGACAGACGGGGGCAUUCGUACUCUGCCGUUAGAGGUGAAAUUCUUGGAUCGGCGGAAGACGCGCAACUGCGAAAGCAUUUGCCAAGAAUGUUUUCAUUA
rnacentral:rRNA from 1 species